rnacentral:rRNA from 1 species
UACGAAGGGGGCUAGCGUUGUUCGGAAUCACUGGGCGUAAAGCGCUCGUAGGCGGAUCUUUAAGUCAGGGGUGAAAUCCCGAGGCUCAACCUCGGAACUGCCUUUGAUACUGGGGAUCUCGAGUCCGGGAGAGGUGAGUGGAACUGCGAGUGUAGAGGUGAAAUUCGUAGAUAUUCGCAAGAACACCAGUGGCGAAGGCGGCUCACUGGCCCGGAACUGACGCUGAGGUGCGAAAGCGUGGGGAGCAAACAGG